rnacentral:rRNA from 1 species
CCCUAUGGGGUGCCGACCUAUGGGGGCAACGACUAUUCCCUCAUCCUCCCGCGGGCUGCCCAGCAGAAGGGCAUGAUAGGUCUUGUUGACUCUUCUGGCCUUGAAAUCCGCCAUCAGGGUGCGUAAGGCAUGCUCGGUUUUCGCCACCAACAUGAUCCCGGAGGUGUCCUUGUCCAAACGAUGAACAAUCCCGGGACGCCCCUCUGCGGCGGCAGGCAAAUGGGAGCAUCGAUACGGCAGACCAUGCACCAAUGUGCCGCAGUGAUGUCCACCCGCCGGGUGGACAACCACCCCAGCAGGCUUGCUCACAACCAAAAUCUGCUCAUCCUCAUGAAGAACUGUGAAAUCGACUGGCUCAGGAACAAGAAAAUGUGGUGGCGGGAGGGC